rnacentral:rRNA from 1 species
AUGCAGUUCGAGCGGACAGAUGGGAGCUUGCUCCCUGAUGUUAGCGGCGGACGGGUGAGUAACACGUGGGUAACCUGCCUGUAAGACUGGGAUAACUCCGGGAAACCGGGGCUAAUACCGGAUGGUUGUUUGAACCGCAUGGUUCAGACAUAAAAGGUGGCUUCGGCUACCACUUACAGAUGGACCCGCGGCGCAUUAGCUAGUUGGUGAGGUAACGGCUCACCAAGGCGACGAUGCGUAGCCGACCUGAGAGGGUGAUCGGCCACACUGGGACUGAGACACGGCCCAGACUCCUACGGGAGGCAGCAGUAGGGAAUCUUCCGCAAUGGACGAAAGUCUGACGGAGCAACGCCGCGUGAGUGAUGAAGGUUUUCGGAUCGUAAAGCUCUGUUGUUAGGGAAGAACAAGUGCCGUUCAAAUAGGGCGGCACCUUGACGGUACCUAACCAGAAAGCCACGGCUAACUACGUGCCAGCAGCCGCGGUAAUACGUAGGUGGCAAGCGUUGUCCGGAAUUAUUGGGCGUAAAGGGCUCGCAGGCGGUUUCUUAAGUCUGAUGUGAAAGCCCCCGGCUCAACCGGGGAGGGUCAUUGGAAACUGGGGAACUUGAGUGCAGAAGAGGAGAGUGGAAUUCCACGUGUAGCGGUGAAAUGCGUAGAGAUGUGGAGGAACACCAGUGGCGAAGGCGACUCUCUGGUCUGUAACUGACGCUGAGGAGCGAAAGCGUGGGGAGCGAACAGGAUUAGAUACCCUGGUAGUCCACGCCGUAAACGAUGAGUGCUAAGUGUUAGGGGGUUUCCGCCCCUUAGUGCUGCAGCUAACGCAUUAAGCACUCCGCCUGGGGAGUACGGUCGCAAGACUGAAACUCAAAGGAAUUGACGGGGGCCCGCACAAGCGGUGGAGCAUGUGGUUUAAUUCGAAGCAACGCGAAGAACCUUACCAGGUCUUGACAUCCUCUGACAAUCCUAGAGAUAGGACGUCCCCUUCGGGGGCAGAGUGACAGGUGGUGCAUGGUUGUCGUCAGCUCGUGUCGUGAGAUGUUGGGUUAAGUCCCGCAACGAGCGCAACCCUUGAUCUUAGUUGCCAGCAUUCAGUUGGGCACUCUAAGGUGACUGCCGGUGACAAACCGGAGGAAGGUGGGGAUGACGUCAAAUCAUCAUGCCCCUUAUGACCUGGGCUACACACGUGCUACAAUGGACAGAACAAAGGGCAGCGAAACCGCGAGGUUAAGCCAAUCCCACAAAUCUGUUCUCAGUUCGGAUC